UGCGUAGGUGGCGAUGCAAGUCUGGUGUGAAAUCUUGGGGCUCAACCUCAAAAUUGCACCGGAUACUGCGUUGCUCGAGGAUUGUAGAGGAGAGUGGAAUUCACGGUGUAGCAGUGAAAUGCGUAGAUAUCGUGAGGAAGACCAGUUGCGAAGGCGACUCUCUGGGCAAUUCCUGACACUGAGGCACGAAGGCCAGGGGAGCAAACG
rnacentral:rRNA from 1 species